UUUUAUGAGAGUUUGAUCCUGGCUCAGGACGAACGCUGGCGGCGUGCCUAAUACAUGCAAGUCGAACGCUUCUUUUUCCACCGGAGCUUGCUCCACCGGAAAAAGAAGAGUGGCGAACGGGUGAGUAACACGUGGGUAACCUGCCCAUCAGAAGGGGAUAACACUUGGAAACAGGUGCUAAUACCGUAUAACAAUCAAAA
rnacentral:rRNA from 1 species